rnacentral:misc_RNA from 1 species
GAAAUGCGAUAAGUAGUGUGAAUUGCAGAAUUCAGUGAAUCAUCGAAACCUUGAACGCAAAUUGCACCCGCAGGUCCUCCUGCGGGUACGCCUGUUUGAGUGCCGACCUCAACCUCACCCCGCCGGGCCCUCCGCCCGGCUCCGGGUGGCAUUGGGCGUCGGGCUCCUGCCCGUCGCCUCCAAAGGAGGUCGGGGGCCGGGGCGGCGGCCUUCCGCCGGUCCUGGGGUCGAUCUGACGUGCCAGCAGGCGCGAUCGGGCCCCCUGCCGGCGGACGUGGCCGAGCCCCCCAGAGCCGCCGCUGAAGGAAGCGCAACCAAAACUUCGGCCUCAAAUCAGGCGAGGGCACCCGCUGAACUUAA